CCUACGGGUGGCAGCAGUGGGGAAUAUUGCACAAUGGGGGGAACCCUGAUGCAGCGACGCCGCGUGAGCGAUGAAGUAUUUCGGUAUGUAAAGCUCUAUCAGCAGGGAAGAAAAUUACGGUACCUGCCUAACACUCCCCGGCUAACUACGUUCCAGCAGCCGCGGUAAUACGUAGGGGGCAAGCGUUAUCCGGAUUUACUGGGUGUAAAGGGAGCGUAGACGGCUGUGCAAGUCUGGAGUGAAAGGCAUGGGCUCAACCUGUGGACUGCUUUGGAAACUGUGAGGCUGGAGUGUCGGAGAGGAAAGUGGAAUUCCUAGUGUAGCGGUGAAAUGCGUAGAUAUUAGGAGGAACACCAGUGGCGAAGGCGGCUUGCUGGACGAUGACUGACGUUGAGGCUCGAAAGCGUGGGGAGCAAACAGGAUUAGAUACCCCAGUAGUC
rnacentral:rRNA from 1 species